rnacentral:misc_RNA from 1 species
GCAAACUUGGUCAUUUAGAGGAAGUAAAAGUCGUAACAAGGUCUCCGUAGGUGAACCUGCGGAGGGAUCAUUACCGAGCGCGCCCCCCGUAAAAAAGGGGGCACCUCCCGUCCUUUUGCCGGCCCCCCCUCUAUUUUUUGGGGGGUGGGGCUUUUCAGACUCUGCUUCGGCGGGGGCGACCCGCCGGAACACCCUCAAGAAAUUCGUCGAACCGUUCCGUCCGAGUGCUUUGCGAAUGAAGAAAAACUUUCAACAACGGAUCUCUUGGUUCUGGCAUCGAUGAAGAACGCAGC